rnacentral:rRNA from 1 species
AGAGUUUGAUCCUGGCUCAGGACGAACGCUGGCGGCGUGCCUAACACAUGCAAGUCGAACGAAGUAUGUUUUUCGAAAUGUACUUAGUGGCGGACGGGGGGNNNNNNNNNNNNNNNNNNNNNNNNNNNNNNNNNNNNNNNNUACAAAGGAAUAGCCUCGGGAAACUGGGAUUAAAACCAUAUAACACUUUUCGUUCGCAUGGAUGAGAAGUCAAAUUGAUUAAGAGGUAUAGGAUGAGUUCGCGUCUGAUUAGCUAGUUGGUGAGGUAAUGGCUCACCAAGGCGACGAUCAGUAGCCGGCCUGAGAGGGUGAACGGCCACACUGGAACUGAGACACGGUCCAGACUCCUACGGGAGGCAGCAGUGGGGAAUAUUGCACAAUGGGCGAAAGCCUGAUGCAGCGACGCCGCGUGAGUGAAGAAGGUCUUCGGAUCGUAAAACUCUGUCCUUGGUGAAGAAAAAUGACGGUACCCAAGGAGGAAGCCCCGGCUAACUACGUGCCAGCAGCCGCGGUAAUACGUAGGGGGCAAGCGUUAUCCGGAAUUACUGGGUGUAAAGGGUGCGUAGGCGGUAAUGUAAGUCAGGUGUGAAAGCCCGAAGCUCAACUGGAGACUGCUCCUGAAACUGGUAGACUUGAGUGCAGGAGAGGUAAGUGGAAUUCCUAGUGUAGCGGUGAAAUGCGUAGAUAUUAGGAGGAACACCAGUGGCGAAGGCGACUCACUGGACUGUAACUGACGCUGAGGCACGAAAGCGUGGGGAGCGAACAGGAUUAGAUACCCUGGUAGUCCACGCUGUAAACGAUGAAUGCUAGGUGUCGGGGUCGCGAGGUCUCGGUGCCGCAGUUAACACAAUAAGCACUCCGCCUGGGGAGUACGGUCGCAAGACUGAAACUCAAAGGAAUUGACGGGGGCCCGCACAAGCAGCGGAGCAUGUGGUUUAAUUCGACGCAACGCGAAGAACCUUACCAGGACUUGACAUCCCUCGCAAUCUGCGGAAACGUGGAGUUCCCUUCGGGGACGAGGAGACAGGUGGUGCACGGUUGUCGUCAGCUCGUGUCGUGAGAUGUUGGGUUAAGUCCCGCAACGAGCGCAACCCUUGUCCUUAGUUGCCAGCAUGAAAGAUGGGCACUCUAGGGAGACUGCCGGAGAUAAUUCGGAGGAAGGUGGGGAUGACGUCAAAUCAUCAUGCCCCUUAUGUCCUGGGCUACACACGUGCUACAAUGGCCGGUACAAAGGGCUGCGAAACCGUAAGGUGAAGCGAAUCCUUAAAGCCAGUCUCAGUUCGGAUUGUAGGCUGCAACUCGCCUACAUGAAGUUGGAGUUGCUAGUAAUCGCAAAUCAGAAUGUUGCGGUGAAUGCGUUCCCGGGUCUUGUACACACCGCCCGUCACACCAUGG